CUAUGGAACAAGCUAAGUGAUGAACCUUUCUGAUCAAAGCGAAGCAAUGGUCACAGGCGCACGAGGGCAUCAUGGAGUAUAUUGCCAUGGAUUGUGUUAUUAACGACAACUUCCCUUAUUCGAAAUCAGUAUUGAUCGAGAUCAAGGAUGUGAAACAAAUUUCCAAUUGGUUCAUCAAGGGCAAAAUUUUGAGCGACUUCAUCCAGCUGAAUGUGAAGUUCGACCUGACCCGGAACACGAUCUACGAUGAGGUGUCCGCAACUCGACUCGAGGAACU